ensembl:lncRNA
GGUUUACCUACUUCACAUUAGAAGGUCCUGCUACACAUGGAUCAUCACUGUGCUGUCCUCUCUUUACAGCAUCUGCAUAAGAUGGUGGUGGUGCACAUGAAGCAUCAGGCUGACCUUCCUGCUCCACACGUUUACACUCUGCAGACAUCUUUACCUCUUCACUGCUCUCAGGACCAACACAUUCUGCUCCUUCAGUCGUUGUUGCACAGGGAUUCUCAUUGGGCCGCUGCCAGCGCAGGCUCUGAUCUUGUGACCUCUUACUCUUCCUUGGCAUUGUUGAUGUUUCAAAACCACAAAUGUUGUCGUACAAAACCAAGAUAUUAAAUACAAUAUGAAUACUAUGUUAUACUAGUUUAUAUUCAAAACCAGGAACAGUGGUGUGAGUUUGAUGGCAGAUGAAUGCUCCAAAAGAACGUUGGGUCUGCAGACAGGAAACGUCAAAUAAAUCCAAUUCUGACAGAUGCUUGUAUUUUAUUUCAGUAUGAAAAGUUUAACAACAAAACACUUGGACACUUAAACAAUGUAUGUGUAUAUGAAAAAGAUUUUAAAUAAAGUAAACAAUAAUUUUGCUAAUAUAUCUAGUGAUAUUCAAUUAAAGAAACCGUGCUAUGUGUAUAAAUAUCCUGUUAACCUUUUUUCCAAUUUUACGUUCAAACUAAUUCUGACUAAAACAGACUCAGUUUAUUCCAAAAGCUUUGCCCAAUUUGUAGAUAGUAAUCGUAUUCUAUUGCGUGUAGAUAGAAGAUUAAAAGAGGAUAAUCUGAUAGUAGAUCUAGUAGAACAGGUACUUGUAACCUGAGGUUGUUGUAACAAAGGGUACCAACGUAAUGUGGUUCAGCAGAGUUUGUUCAUCAAAAGAUGGAUCAGGUACUUGUGAGGUUGUUGUAAUAAAGGGUAACCAACGUUAUGUGGUUAGAUCAGGUAUUAGUAACCUGAAUUGUAUAUUGUAGACAGAGCGGUAGAUUUGAUAGGAUAGAUAGAGGUUCCAAUAAUGAGACAGAGUGGAUAGAAGGUAUAGGAUAGACAGAGAGCGUUUAUGAUAGAGGAGAGAUGCUGGCCAGCAGGACACCUGUAAGACACAAUAAAACAUGCAUUAGACAGCAGGUCGAACAACAAACUGAGUAACCUCUACUGUAAGCUUAAAGAUCACUGAAGGUUUCUAGUUAAAUGACCAGAUCAUAAACCCAUGUAAUAAUAUUUAAAAGUUGUUCUUAAAUGCGUUUAUUAAUUUGGCUGGAUUAAGACACCUCAAGGCCGGACCACACUCCCUGUGUUUCUCACACAAGUAGUUUGCACACAGUGUUGUUGCUACUGCCAGCACUUCUUUCUAAUUGUUCUCUUAUAAUUACUAUAAUUAAACAGUAUAAUAUAUUAUACAUUCAUAUUAACAUUAAACUAACGGGUUAAGAAGCUCCUUAAUAAAUAGAAAAAAUAAUCUUAAUAUUAAAGGCCGGUACUUUUUUCAAAGUUAUUGCAUUUUCCUACACUAUACUGCAAAUAUUUCAGAAUAAAAUGUGUUUUAACAAAUGAUGGGAUGCUUUUGACAAAAAAAUGUUAGCAGGCUUUUAUUAUUAUGUUAAGAGUUGAGUUAAAUACUUGUUUCCUGCCUGUGAAAUAUCUCCAGAUAUAGACAUUAAAACAGUAAGAGGCUAGUAUUACAUCAAUACACUGUCACAGGAUUGUUUUUACAGUCCAUGUCACUUCCACAGUCACGGUCGGUCUUGGGCAUCAGUGUUUCACUUCAACUUUACUAUGUGUUUUGACUCAUCUGGGAACUUACUGUCAGAUCACCAAGACGUCCAAAGUGGAGUAGACAGGGAAGACUAGGCCACUU